rnacentral:rRNA from 1 species
GCGUUGUCCGGAAUUAUUGGGCGUAAAGAGCGUGUAGGCGGUUUGAUCAGUCUGCUGUAAAAGUCGGGGGCUCAACCCCCGAAAGCCGGUAGAUACUGUCGAGCUAGAGUACGGAAGAGGCGAGUGGAAUUCCUAGUGUAGCGGUGAAAUGCGCAGAUAUUAGGAGGAACACCAAUUGCGAAGGCAGCUCGCUGGGACGUUACUGACGCUGAGACGCGAAAGCGUG